AUUGAACGCUAGCGGGAUGCCUUACACAUGCAAGUCGAACGAGUGGCGGACGGGUGAGUAAUGUCUGGGAAACUGCCCGAUGGAGGGGGAUAACUACUGGAAACGGUAGCUAAUACCGCAUACCAUCGGAUGUGCCAAGAGGGGAUAAGCUAGUAGGUGGGGGAACGGCUCACCUAGGCGACGAUCCGUAGCUGGUCUGAGAGGAUGACCAGCCACACUGGAACUGUGACACGGUCCAGACUCCUACGGGAGGCAGCAGUGGGGAAUAUUGCACAAUGGGCGCAAGCCUGAGGCAGCCAUGCAGCGUGUAUGAAGAAGGCCUUCGGGUUGUAAAGUAUUUUCAGCGAGGAGGCGUUACUCGCAGAAGAAGCACCGGCUAACUCCGUGCCAGCAGCCGCGGUAAUAC
rnacentral:rRNA from 1 species